CCUACGGGCGGCAGCAGUGAGGAAUAUUGGUCAAUGGACGAGAGUCUGAACCAGCCAAGUAGCGUGAAGGAUGACUGCCCUAUGGGUUGUAAACUUCUUUUAUAAGGGAAUAAAACGCGGCACGUGUGCCUUUUUGCAUGUACUUUAUGAAUAAGGAUCGGCUAACUCCGUGCCAGCAGCCGCGGUAAUACGGAGGCUCCGAGCGUUAUCCGGAUUUAUUGGGUUUAAAGGGAGCGUAGAUGGGUUGUUAAGUCAGUUGUGAAAGUUUGCGGCUCAACCGUAAAAUUGCAAUUGAUACUGGCAGACUUGAGUACAGGUGAGGUAGGCGGAAUUCGUGGUGUAGCGGUGAAAUGCUUAGAUAUCACGAAGAACCCCGAUUGCGAAGGCAGCUUACUAGACUGUGACUGACAUUGAGGCUCGAAAGUGUGGGUAUCAAACAGGAUUAGAUACCCUGGUAGUC
rnacentral:rRNA from 1 species